GGGAGGGAUCCUGGCGGGUGCGAUCAUAACGGAUCCCAUCAGAGCUUCGCAGUUAAGCGCGCUCGGGCUAGAGUAGUACCGGGAUGGGUGACCUCCCGGGAAGUCCUAGUGUUGCACGGU
rnacentral:rRNA from 1 species